CCUACGGGAGGCAGCAGUGAGGAAUAUUGGUCAAUGGGCGAGAGCCUGAACCAGCCAAGUCGCGUGAAGGAUGACGGCCCUACGGGUUGUAAACUUCUUGUGUCAGGGAGCAAUUGAGUCCACGUGUGGGCUUAGCGAGAGUACCUGAAGAAAAAGCAUCGGCUAAAGCCGUGCCAGCAGCCGCGGUAAUACGGAGGAUGCGAGCGUUAUACGGAGUUGUUGGGUGUAAAGGGUGCGUAGGCGGAAUGUCAAGUCAGCGGGAAAAAGUAGGGGCUCAACCCCGUCGUGCCGUUGAAACUGGUGUUCUUGAGUGGGCGAGAAGUAUGCGGAAUGCGUGGUGUAGCGGUGAAAUGCAUAGAUAUCACGCAGAACUCCGAUUGCGAAGGCAGCAUACCGGCGCCCAACUGACGCUGAAGCACGAAAGCGUGGGUAUCGAACAGGAUUAGAUACCCCUGUAGUC
rnacentral:rRNA from 1 species